UCUAUUAAGUAUCGGCAGAGGAUGACAUCACCGUUGCUUUUUCCCAAUUUCAGUUUUGCCAGUGAUAAACUACUGACGGAAUAUCUGAUCGAAGUACUAGUAUAUGCACACAUGCACUAACGAUAAAGUAAGCGAAUGGCAGUUCGAUGAAUUACAACUUCAUUUUUCGGCAUUAGCCAGUGCACAUUUCCCACUCUUCAACCCAUCCCCGACAAGAUUUCAGCCCUGAAACGGUGAACGCGUUACAAUGUUUAAAAUUUGCUGACUCGCCGAUACGGAUCGUGAUCCAAGAAGUUUUCAUGACAAGAAGUAUGAGUUUAACGACCAACUAAACGUGUUACAUGAGGUUAAUGUUACUUCGGCGGUGCUCGCUUUCCCUGCCGGCCCACCAUUCAGACGGGAUGCCUUUCGGACGCUUUGAUGGCUCAGCGGCGGCCGCUGCUUUGUUGCUGUUACGUUUUCCACACGUUGUUUCGAGCUGUUCUUGUCGCGUCUGCUCGUGCGCUAGCGUCACGAUUUCUUAUUUUUACGUUUGUUCAGUUCUUGUGGACAAUGUUAAUCUGUGGACAAUGUCUGGAAUAGAUCACUCGCUCGCGCGGCACCACAAGCUCCCGCGGCAUCCACGGCGGGCAGAGGACACGCGCAGCGGCCGAACUCAGCAGCGGCAGGAAGCGAUCAGCGGACAAUCCUGACGCCACUUCCGCCACGAAACGGAUAGCGUCUACGAUCGUAGUUCCCGCUGAGUCCUCCAUCAGUUCAGCAUCACAGAUCACGACUUUGUCAUCCCAGAUUGCAGCCAUGCAGCAGCGAAUAAAGCACCUGGAGGUGCAACAAGAAAGCUCCAGCCGCAACGCGCUGGAUGUUGACGGGUCCAGGCCACAGCGCUCUCUAUCACCGUCCUCUAACCGGGUCACUGCGGUGCAAGGUAAGUAUACCGACAGUGUACUUGAGGCUCCUUUACCAGCUCGCCGACCGGUGACCGAGCGGCUCGGAGACCAGUCAACAAUAUCCCGUCCAAGUGCAGAGACCUAACCGCAGUUCCGAAGAAAAUCCGGGAUCAGCUAGUGGACCGCGAGCGGUUCGUCGACCUGGCGGACCGGCUGCCACAAAACAGAACACCAUCCAAGCGGCUAGCUCCCGGCACGCGUAUGGUGCUUGACGAAAGCACCGGCAAAUACACCUUCACGGCCGCGGCAAAGAAAGAGCAAAUCACGACUUUUGCCGCCUGGGCGCACGCCUUGGGAGUGUUCAUGCACGCACCGGAAUUCACGGGGCCAAUGCUGAAAUACCUGGGCAUGAUGAGUCUAUCCGCCGAUCCCAGUCGCGGUUACAAUCUUGGGCACGUCUUUGAAUACCAUGGUCAGAAUUACGCAACGAACAAUCCCGACGACACCAAAAACUGGACCAGAAAACAUGACGACUUCUUCCAGAAUGCCAUCGUGAGCCCGGUUGUCACCGUUGCCAGCACAGUCCCAACGAGCAGCAAUAAGUACAAGUCAGCCAAAUGCAGUCGGUGUCAUCAGGUUGGCCAUAUAGCAGCAAACUGACCCGAUCAAGAGCUUUUUCGGAUUAACUCCGCCGCAGACGGAGAAAUGUAACGGAAGCUGAACCGCGGCAUCUGCUCAACGCCAUGCGCUGGAAACCGCAAGCGUGUCUGCAGCUCCUGUGGCUCCGACUUUCACGGCGACUAUGUCCACCGUCAAGCGGGGACUUCCAGCAACAGCGGCCGAUUCAAACCGGAGAACCCCGCUUAAUGCAGAUGAAUUUGCGCGGCGGCUGGCUGAUCAUCGCGAUCAGCAAUUUGUUUCAUCAGUUUCAUGUAUUACCAACAGCGCCGAGUUGAAAUACAGCGGUUUAUUACGUUCUCGUUUUACCCCCAAUAGCUCACCUAUAGAUAUCCAUAAGAGCAUCGCACAGAGCACCAUCGAUCAUGACUGCGCUUAACAUGCGCGUGAAAAAGAGCGGCGGUCAUCGCAUGAUGAUGGACCUUUCCUGCCCGGCGGCAGACUCCGUGAACAUGCGCAUUCCCAAAGACGAUCCCCCGUUACGAUUCUACAACGUCGACGAUGCUAUUUAUGCGCUGACCUCGGUGUAUCGCUAUACGAACAAACUAGAAGGACCGGCGCCGGCCAUCAUUUUUCUCGGGAUCCGCAUCGAUUUUGUUUCCGAAACUCUUUCCUUGCCAGCUGACAGUUUGAGCGACAUAAUGUCACUCAUGACCACCUGGGAGUCGACUCUGUGCCCGCUCCAUGACCUGUAAAGCCUAAUCGGCACGUUGCAGUUUGCAUGCCGAUGCGUGCCGGCGGCAAGGCUGUUCCUGUGAAGAAUGAUCCGGCUCAUCAGUGGUAGCGACAAACGGCCGCUUGCUCAGAUACACCUAAACGCUGGAUGCCAUUUUGAUUUUCAGUGGUGGAAGAAGUUUCUGCCUCUAUGGAACGGCACGAGCAAGUUCCUCCAGCCAACAUGGUCGCAUCCGAAUAUUUACGGACGCAUCAGCCCUUGGCGGUAUCUGUGGUUCCUGUGACAGUGAGCGGUUUCAGUCUCGUUGCGUGGGUCAUCGAAAGGAAGCCCAGCAUCGAAUACCUGUAAAUGAUGGCCAUCCUAUCUGCACUGCAUAUCUGGACUCAGAAGCUACACCGCAUGCAAGUACUGCUGCUUUGUGACAAUCUAGGGGCCUCCCAAGCGUGGAAGAAGCUGGGUUCACAGCAUAGCAGAGUGGCUGUCUCUAACGAUUUGUGGUAUACUUGUCAUGUAUAGCUGCCGCCGUAUCGCACGGAACCCUGCGCGCUGGCUACCCAGCUGUUGGUGCUGCUUACUGCUUACAGCACUCUCCGUUCUGUGUCUGAAUUCUUAAUCUGAUUUAAUGCCCGAGUACGAUUAAUACUGCUGGACAGCCUUCCAUCGUAAGUCAGCAAUUAUUUUUAACAUUAUGUUAGUUUAGCAAAGUAUGAGUUGGAAUGAAUUGUGUUGGUCGCAUAACCUCAUUUUUCAUUUUCGGUCUGUAUUUUUGAAAAAAAACUGUAUACUCGUACCGUUUGGCGGGUUCCCGCUGAUCUGGUACCCAGAACGCCAGAAGUGUUUUGAACCGUCUUCAUUUCUUUUAGCUAAAAAAAUACUGCAUAGCAAUACCUAAGCGCACCUUGUUUUGGUGGUCU